rnacentral:rRNA from 1 species
GAUGAACGCUGGCGGCGUGCCUAAUACAUGCAAGUCGAGCGAACGGACGAGAAGCUUGCUUCUCUGAUGUUAGCGGCGGACGGGUGAGUAACACGUGGAUAACCUACCUAUAAGACUGGGAUAACUUCGGGAAACCGGAGCUAAUACCGGAUAAUUUUUUGAACCGCAUGGUUCAAAAGUGAAAGACGGUCUUGCUGUCACUUAUAGAUGGACCCGCGCUGCAUUAGCUAGUUGGUAAGGUAACGGCUUACCAAGGCAACGAUGCAUAGCCGACCUGAGAGGGUGAUCGGCCACACUGGAACUGAGACACGGUCCAGACUCCUACGGGAGGCAGCAGUAGGGAAUCUUCCGCAAUGGGCGAAAGCCUGACGGAGCAACGCCGCGUGAGUGAUGAAGGUCUUCGGAUCGUAAAACUCUGUUAUUAGGGAAGAACAUAUGUGUAAGUAACUGUGCACAUCUUGACGGUACCUAAUCAGAAAGCCACGGCUAACUAUGUG